AAAAAACAAUCCAUUCACUUUCUCAAAACUUCCACUUGAGCAAAUAAAACCAUCAUUUCAUUGAAUUGAUUAUAUUUUACCAUUUAUCUAAGAACAAAUUUCCUAAAUAAUUCAAACCAAACAGGCCGAGCAACAGUACACUCUCUUACUCAUAUCCACAUAUUUUCCUAACUAAGAGAUCAAAUUUUUUACAAACUUUUCAACAUCAAAUUUAGAUUCUUCAUCAAAACCAAAAAGAAAAUCGCAAUACCAAAGCAUAAUACAGUUGAAACCAAAAGUACAUAUAAAACGUUUCAACAACAAAUUUAGAAUCUUCAUCAAAACCAAAAGAAAAUCACAAUACCAAAGCAUAAUACAGUAGAAACCAAUAGUACAUAUUUAUUAAAGAGCUGAGAAAAGCUAAACAAAACAGACCCAAAUGAAAAGGAAUAAGGGACUUACGAACUUUUGAAAAUUCUCUUGUAAAUCAAGACAAGGACAGAAACCGGGAAUAAUAAACCCGAAGCCAGAACCACCAUCGGUGACGCCGAACGGAAUACCUAUCUUUUGGUUGUAGCAAGAUGGUUUUAUAAAGGGUGUGAGGUGUGGUGUUAUGUGAGGGAGUUUUA
rnacentral:lncRNA from 1 species